rnacentral:tRNA from 1 species
GGCGAGGUAGCUCAGUCGGUUAGAGCACUGGCUUCAUAAGCCAGGGGUCGCGGGUUCAAGUCCCGCCCUCGCUACCA